GUUCGAAACGGCUCUGCUCCGUUUGCGCGAGCCUGCGCCGUGUCACUGCUUUCAUGCGUGCAGAAAGUUUUGCUCUGGUUCAUUGCUCGUGCUACGCGGGCGUAAAGGCAGAGUGAUCUGCAGGGUCUCAGCCCUGCUUCAACAUCUGCUCAGGAUUUGACUACAAACAUACGUAGCUCUGUUUGAGAGGUCUCGGUCAGCAAGAACUGGCACUGAAGCGAGGUUUUCCCUGUUACGUGAGCCAGAACAGCGCUGCUGUGCCUGACAUGGGAUGAGGUUUGGAACCACCUCUGCCUAUGGAAUUAAAAUAGCAUUUGUCCCUACAAACAGAACAUCCAGUUUAUGCGGAAGACAGCUUAAUGGACAUUAAGCAAGAGGAGGAGUUGUGCGCUGCAGGUCUGGAGGAGGUGGAGGCUAGAGAAGGUCCUGAAGAGCCCUGCCUAGCAGAGCAAGCAUUUUAUGAGCCUGACGCUUCAACUCGGACCAAGAGAGGCAAAGAGGUUCGUGUCAGAGAGCUGCCAGAUGCCGAGGGCGAGGACCUCCUUGGAGACCCUUACGCAGGGUUUCAGGCUUGUGCAACUGAUGUUUUAUCUUGGAUUAAACAAGAGGAGGAGCCAUACCUCCAUGAACGACAAGACUUGGAGAAAGAAGAAAUCUCUACAGAUCCCAGUACAGGAAGCGCAGCUGUGUGCUCAGGCCUUACAGGAUCAAGUUUAUUCUUCCAACUGGCUUGAUAUUGCCUAGACCUGGAACCAAUGAACGUGGAGCCCUGACUUCAUGCUCCAAAGCAGGAGAGCUAUCUUGGCGCAAAAGAAAAGGCAGCUUUAACGCAAAGCAAUUUUAGGACGUGCUGAUUGGACAUGGCCAUGCUAACUUUCAUUCAGAGGCAGUUUUUUGUACAGAGCACACUUGGAAUAUGGAUCAUGCUUGAGAUGUAGCUAAUAUGAGAGAUUCAUCUUUGGAUAAAGACUUAACCUCAGAGAUCGGGUGUGUAGAUUUGGAUAGGGACAUUAAAUACAAUCUCUUGGGCCACAGCCCAGGACAAUCUAGCAUAGCUCUUAAGUGGUUAAUUGACAAGGAGGUGCAAAGAAAUAUUUUGUGUGGAGAUCUGUUGGUGGCCUGGAAUUUCUUCACUUCAUGUAAAUAAUGUAGACAUUCAGGAACACAUGAUGAAAUUACUAUGGAGCAAAUCAACGUAUAAACUCUCAGCACAUCAACUGUGGGAACUGCCCAUGUGAACAGUCUUACCCCACAGGAAAAAAGAUCAUCCAGAACAUUCCCCCCCUCGUAUAAGGCUCGAUCAGCUCUACCUAAAUCCUUCCUGAGAGAUGCUUGUUCAAACUGCUCUUGUACUUGAGAAGUAUAGACUGGAAAGUCUGGAAGAGACAGCCUGAGUUAGCUGGGGAGUCCCAUUCUCUGAAGUCUGGAGUUACUGUGGUGAGAAGACACGCACAAACUUUUACUGUAGAACAUAAAAUGCACCAGCUGUUCUCACUCAAGCUUGUCCUGUGGUAACAUGUUUGUGUGCCUAUAUCCUAAUUUACAGCAGGAGAAGUAAGACCACAGAAUGUUUAAGCAGUGUAGAUAACUUUGGACUCAACUGAGUGGCGCUGCUGAGAGAUGCUUGG
rnacentral:lncRNA from 1 species